rnacentral:rRNA from 1 species
UACGGAGGGUCCAAGCGUUAUCCGGAAUCAUUGGGUUUAAAGGGUCCGUAGGCGGUUUUGUAAGUCAGUGGUGAAAGCCCAUCGCUCAACGGUGGAACGGCCAUUGAUACUGCAAGACUUGAAUUACUAGGAAGUAACUAGAAUAUGUAGUGUAGCGGUGAAAUGCUUAGAUAUUACAUGGAAUACCAAUUGCGAAGGCAGGUUACUACUAGUGGAUUGACGCUGAUGGACGAAAGCGUGGGGAGCGAACAGG